CUUCGGUUUCUGGUAACUAGUCGAUCCUCUUUCCCGUUCACUCAUCUCGUCAAUCGAUGAUUGAAUUUCGAGUGACAGAUCAUCAGUGCGCGAGAAGGAAGACUAGCUUCCUUAAACUACGAU
rnacentral:pre_miRNA from 14 species